rnacentral:rRNA from 1 species
GUGGGGAAUCUUCCGCAAUGGACGAAAGUCUGACGGAGCAACGCCGCGUGAGUGAUGAAGGUCUUCGGAUUGUAAAGCUCUGUUAAUCGGGACGAAAGAGCCUAGUGUGAAUAAUGCUAGGAAGUGACGGUACCGGAAUAGAAAGCCACGGCUAACUACGUGCCAGCAGCCGCGGUAAUACGUAGGUGGCAAGCGUUGUCCGGAAUUAUUGGGCGUAAAGCGCGCGCAGGCGGAUCUGCCAGUCUGUCUUAAAAGUUCGGGGCUUAACCCCGUGAUGGGAUGGAAACUAAAGAUCUAGAGUAUCGGAGAGGAAAGUGGAAUUCCUAGUGUAGCGGUGAAAUGCGUAGAUAUUAGGAAGAACACCAGUGGCGAAGGCGACUUUCUGGACGAAAACUGACGCUGAGGCGCGAAAGCCAGGGGAGCGAACGGGAUUAGAAACCCCUGUAGUCC